rnacentral:lncRNA from 1 species
UCAGGAUCAGGCUCUUGCUGUACGACUUCAUUUGCCAGCAAUUCAUCUGGAUCGGGUUCCCUUUGAGCCUUAUAUAGAUGGCCUUGAUCUUCCGUGGUGUCAUUCACAAUUUUUAUUUUCAGUUCAGCCUCUGAAUCAUCCGGAUCAGGUUCAGCACUGGUCCUCCUCAGUUGAACAGUGUCGUCCACCUCCAUUAACUGAGAGCAAAGAGAUUCCGGUUCCACCACAACACCAGACUUCCACGCAGUUUCUGAGUCAUCAGGAUCAGGCUCCUCAUAUGGGUUUGUGGCUGCCAGUUUCUUUGGAGACACCUGCUGAACCAUCUCAGGGUCAGAAUAAUUUUCAGGUUCCAAAGGUUCCCCAUCCUGGGAAUCAUCAGGAUCAGGCUCAAGCUUGUUCUCAUAGCCAGGAUCAUCAUCAGGAUCAGGCUCAUGACCUUUCCACUGAUCUCUACUUGGACUCUCAAUAUCCAGACUUCCUUUUGCUGCUGAAACUGUAUGAUGAGAUUCUCCAAGCAUAAUGAGCCCUGAAUCAUCAGGGUCAGGUUCUUCAUGUACUUCAGACACCCCCAAACUGUUAGCAGAAGCAUUUGCUAGACGACGAUAAGCAGCAGCCACAGAAGACGCACGAGCACUUGCCAAUUGAUCUGAAAUAUUUCCUCCAAGCUUCUGAGAAAAACUCCUACUAUCA